GACGAACGCUGGCGGCGUGCUUAACACAUGCAAGUCGAACGGAAAGGCCCUGCUUUUGUGGGGUGCUCGAGUGGCGAACGGGUGAGUAACACGUGAGUAACCUGCCCUUGACUUUGGGAUAACUUCAGGAAACUGGGGCUAAUACCGGAUAGGAGCUCCUGCUGCAUGGUGGGGGUUGGAAAGUUUCGGCGGUUGGGGAUGGACUCGCGGCUUAUCAGCUUGUUGGUGGGGUAGUGGCUUACCAAGGCUUUGACGGGUAGCCGGCCUGAGAGGGUGACCGGCCACAUUGGGACUGAGAUACGGCCCAGACUCCUACGGGAGGCAGCAGUGGGGAAUAUUGCACAAUGGGCGGAAGCCUGAUGCAGCAACGCCGCGUGCGGGAUGACGUCCUUCGGGUUGUAAACCGCUUUCGCCUGUGACGAAGCGUGAGUGACGGUAAUGGGUAAAGAAGCACCGGCUAACUACGUG
rnacentral:rRNA from 1 species